CGGAGGGUGCAAGCGUUAUCCGGAUUCACUGGGUUUAAAGGGUGCGUAGGUGGGUUGGUAAGUCAGUGGUGAAAUCCCCGAGCUUAACUUGGGAACUGCCAUUGAUACUAUCAGUCUUGAAUACCGUGGAGGUCAGCGGAAUAUGUCAUGUAGCGGUGAAAUGCUUAGAUAUGACAUAGAACACCAAUUGCGAAGGCAGCUGGCUACACGAAUAUUGACACUGAGGCACGAAAGCGUGGGGAUCAAACAGGAUUAGAUACCCUGGUAGUCCGCGCCCUAAACUAUGGAUACUCGACAUACGCGAUACACUGUGUGUGUCUGAGCGAAAGCAUUAAGUAUCCCACCUGGGAAGUACGAUCGCAAGAUUG
rnacentral:rRNA from 1 species